UACGAAGGGAGCUAGCGUUGUUCGGAAUCACUGGGCGUAAAGCGCACGUAGGCGGAUGUGUCAGUCAGGGGUGAAAUCCCGGAGCUCAACUUCGGAACUGCCUUUGAUACAGCACAUCUGGAGUCCGGAAGAGGUGGGUGGAAUUCCUAGUGUAGAGGUGAAAUUCGUAGAUAUUAGGAAGAACACCGGUGGCGAAGGCGGCUCUCUGGGACGGUACUGACGCUGAGACGCGAAAGCGUGGGGAGCGAACAGG
rnacentral:rRNA from 1 species